AUUGAACGCUGGCGGCAUGCCUUACACAUGCAAGUCGAACGGUAACAGGUCUUCGGAUGCUGACGAGUGGCGAACGGGUGAGUAAUACAUCGGAACGUGCCCGAUCGUGGGGGAUAACGAGGCGAAAGCUUUGCUAAUACCGCAUACGAUCUACGGAUGAAAGCGGGGGAUCUUCGGACCUCGCGCGGACGGAGCGGCCGAUGGCAGAUUAGGUAGUUGGUGGGAUAAAAGCUUACCAAGCCGACGAUCUGUAGCUGGUCUGAGAGGAUGAUCAGCCACACUGGGACUGAGACACGGCCCAGACUCCUACGGGAGGCAGCAGUGGGGAAUUUUGGACAGUGGGCGAAAGCCUGAUCCAGCCAUGCCGCGUGCAGGAUGAAGGCCUUCGGGUUGUAAACUGCUUUUGUACGGAACGAAAAGCCUCUUUCUAAGAAAGAGGGGUCAUGACGGUACCGUAAGAAUAAGCACCGGCUAACUACGU
rnacentral:rRNA from 1 species